rnacentral:lncRNA from 1 species
GGUUUUCAUAACCAUCAAUCAGCCAGAGUAUUGAUGGUCAUGAGUCCCGGUGGUUAAAACUAAUGGAGAAAGAAUUUGUUCGUGACAGGUCCAACAACACCGCAUCUCUGAAAUUCUUAGUAUUUUGAAGGAAGAGGACCGUCAAAUACUAUGGGGAUCAACGCAUUUAUAAUGCCAAUUUUAAAUACAAAAAAAUCGUGAAAACGGGGCAGUCUAAAUCCAGUUAGUAUGUCUUGGACCAAUUAAUUAAGAAAGUAAACCUCCAUAAGUACCAAAAAAUUCAGAUACCAACGAAAUCAUAGAUAUUCUUGGGUUCAUCCGGAAAAUCUAGAGUUGUCUGUCAACUUUUCUCUGUUGUUGAUCAUUGAUGCUAAUACAAGACCAAGAGUUAUUCGGAUACCAUAUUAUAGGUUGUGAGUAUCACAUCCACAAUGCAAACUUACUCGUUAUAUUCGAUAUCUUAGUAAGGAGAGACAUAGCAACUAAUAUGGGCUUAGGUACCUUAAAGCAGGGAAUGUUAAAAAGGGGAGCGUGCCGUCAGUGUUUGGUUCAGAUUGGAAAUUUAGGCUUUUAAUGCAUGAAAACAUGUUUUCCAUGCACGUCAAUAUUUGUUACUAAUGUGUAACGAAGACAUGUGUUCCUAUGCUUGGUUUUGGAGUGAAAACGGUUUUAUGCGUCAUGGCACUAUGCUCAUUCAUUCAUCGAAACGGUGGUCUUACCAGCAGAAGGGGAAGUCAUGCGCGAGGAAUAGAUGAUCGAGGGUGCCUACAAUACAGUUGUGAGGCCAUGCGUGUUGCCUAGAUAAUAACCCUAGAGGGGGGUGAAUAGGGUUGUUGACAAAACUUUUUUAAUAAAAUAUAACUGAAUAAGAGUUAGAAUAAUUAAGAAGAGUGAUAAUGUAAAGAAUAUAAAUUGAGUACAAUAAUAAAGAGAUAGGGAGAUAGAUGCAAACUCAACGAUUAUAGUGGUUCGGUUCUACCUGACUUACGUCCAUCCCAAGCCACACCACUUGAAUUCAAUUUCCAAUCCAAAUUCUCCCCUUUUGUUUUUGUUUUGUUUUUCCAACGGGUGGAGUUCAAAACAUUUACUGUCAAGAGCAAACCACUCUUCUUCACAAGGUGGAAAAUCCCCUCACCACCUCACAAGGUCACACCAACGACUUUGAUACAAUCAACUGUGAUCGAAUUUGAGAUUUCUCUGCAAAAUAAACAAUUCUCCUUUUUGAGAAGGAUGCAAAUAAAGAUGUUUACAAUGAUCUCUCUCAUAGAACUCUGUAUGAUCAAAACUUGAAAGGCUCAAAGGAAAUUGAAAGAAGUAUGCUUGAGUUCUAAACUUAUUUUUCUUACUUUGAUUUGCUUUAUAAAAUGAGAGGUAAGGAUAUGUAUUUAUAAAUCUUAGCAGAAUAUAAAACCGUUGGAGGGGAAUUAAAAUUUGUAGGCCAAUUUUUCCAAUUUGAAAUCACAUUUUCAAAGUUCGAAAAUGUGGUUAUCCAAAUUUUAAAAGUUGCCAACUACAUUUUCAAAGUUAGAAAUUAUUUUGACCAAUUUUUUCGUUGCAACUACAUUUUCAAAGUCAAAAAAUUGUGCUAUCCAAACUUUUUCAAAGUAAAAAUGUGCUACCCCCAAUUUUUUAAAAUUGGAAUCAAAUUUUCAAAGUCAGAAAUUAUUGCUAAGCAUAUUUUUCAAACUUGGAAUCAAAUUUUCAGUCAGAAAAUUGUUGCUAGAUUUUUUUUAACUUACCAUCACAUUUUCAAGUUAAAAUUAGUUGCUAGCUAAUUUUUCAAAUUAAAUCAAAUUUUUAAAAAUCAAAAAUUCUUGCUUGCACAUGUUUCAAAAAUUAUAAGUUAAAUUUUCAAAGACAAGAAUUAUACUAGCACAUUUGUAAGAAACUCUAGUUUUUAAUGCACUUUUGUAUUUUUAAAAUGCAUGAAGGAUAUUAAGGUAUUUAGAGCAUCACGAAUUUAACCAUACAAGACUUUACAAAAAUACCCUAAAUGAAAAUUUUUCUUCUUGAGAUAUUCAGUGCUUAAGGCGUCUGCUUUGUAGUCAAAUAUCUUCGAUUAUUUCUGCUCCUGAGAAUAUGUGCUUGAAUUAUUUCUUGCAAACAUAUCAUACUUGAAUUAAAUACAUUAGAGCAAUAAGAUAGAAUUUGUUAUCAUCAAAAUAUUUGCAACAUCUCGGAUGACGCCAUAGGGUAACAAUCUCCCCCUUUUUGAUGAUGACAAAUUAUGAUAUAAAAAUUUUAAGCACAAUCUGUAGUUAACAAAUUACUGAUCAAAGCAUAUAUUAAAUUACUGAGAAUAAUGCAUUUUUAUUAUUAAGCUCAGUAUAUGGAACUAACAAAAUUUUUGUAGAUCCUUAUUUCUCCCCCUUUUGACAUCAACAAAAAGGUAUAUGUAUAAGCUCCCCCUGCGAAGAUGCUCCCCCCUUUCAUGACACUAGAAGUAUAACGUAACAAUAAUAUCAGAUAUGAAAGCUUGCUAAAUAUGAACAUUGAAUUCAGUGAAGGUGAGAACAAACAAUCAUAAAAUAUAUGAGUUAAACACCUAUAUCAUGUGCUUUCUCUCUUCUAUCACAGAUUAUUAUCGAUGGAACACAAAAUCCUGAGGACAAGAGAGAAGAUACUUCAUCUUAGUAACAGAUCAAGAAUAAUCUUGCUCUAGAUGCCAUGAUUAAGAAUAGUCUUUGCUUCUUGUUGUUUGUGAAUCAAGUUUUUUUUGUGUAUUGCACUUUUCUUACUGGUUUUGGUAGGAAUUUAGACUGGUAUGAACGUAGUUGUGCUGCGUGGCAUCUUUCUUCAUAAGAGUGAUGAUAGGCUGAAACAAGAUAGAAGAUAAGAUUUGCUUCAGAGGAUGAAGAAUGCAGAAACAGACAUAUGUGCUUGGCAAGAGAAAAGACAAAGUGAAGUAUAUAGAUUGAUAUUUGACAUGAAUAGGUGCGAGAUGACCUAUGUGAUGACGCCUGUAAUCUUGCCCAAAGAAAAAAUUAUCCAAUAAAAAAUAAACAAAAUAUGCAAUUUAUAAGAUUUGGUCAGGUCAGUGGUAGGUGCGGCUGUGCUCAGAAGGAUGUGACUUUAGGCCAUAUUUGUCCGAAAAAAAUCUCUUUCCUAGAUCCCGAAAUAUUCUCUCUUCUUUCUCCCUUCCGGUUCUUUGAAGAAGAUUCAAGUUUCUUUCCUUAGUUUUCAAAAAUGACGUAUCUUCUUCUCAAAAUAAUUUUGAUGCUAAAUGUUGUGCCUAAUUUGUCAUAAACAGAAAUUCUGUGUCAUCAUCUAUCUCAACAAGGUCCUCUCAUGACUAUGGCUCUGUGAUGCUGGAUGAGCAGUUGCUGCACUAGAGUUCUUUAACGUUCCAACAAGAUGAAAAUUAUAUUGGCGAAAUCUGGACUGAAUGCCGAGCCAUUAAUGACUCAAUGACACUCAUUUAUUCAUUGUGCUUCUCUGUUCAAUAUGGCUCGACGUCUGCACGUUCGAGGGCGAAUGAAGUUCAAGAGCCUAAGGACUCAAGUUUUGAUUUGCCAAACUAAGGAAUAGAGGGUCUUCAGUAUGAGAAUAAAGGCUGAAGAAACUUGUAAUUCAUAUGCUAAUGCCUGUGAAAGAAAUAUUCAGAACUAGAGAUGAACACUAACCGUCUUUGGGAGGCAACGGAGAGUCUCUUGCUUGAAGUCCAGAAAAAAUCUUAAGAUUUCUCGCCCAGAAGCUUAACAUGUAUUAUAUUCAGAAAAGUAAUUAUUUUAAAAAUAAUAACUGAAGUUUAUGGCAAUCUAUGUGGUCUAACACAUACCAGUUCUAGACGAAUGGUGCAAACGUCAAUCCUCUUGGAGAGUGGUUUUGGGUGAAUAUGUCAGCCCAUUAAAAUCAGAGCUUAUAAACUCUCAGUUCUACAUCUCUUUUUUGAAACAUGGCCACGAAUAAAAUGAUGUCUCAAUUUCAAUAUGUUUUGUUUAUGAGUGAAGAUAGAUUUUUAAAUAUUUAUAGCACUAGUUUAUCGGCAUCUAUAGGUAUGUGAUCAACUUUUAUUUAAAAUCUUCAAAUUGUUGCUUCAUAUAAGACUCUGUGGAGCACACCCUGCCUGUCAGCAAUAUAUUCUGCAUUUCAGCAGGGAAAAGAGCAACUGAAUUUGCUGCUUGCUAAAACCAAGAAACCAGUGAGUGUCUAGAAAUUGACACGUACCCGCUUUUACUCUUGCUAUCAAGUUUUGCAACCCCAAAAUCUGCAUACUGAAAACUUACUGAAUCCAAUGAAGGUGAAUUUAGGAUACCAUAAACCUAGAUCUAUUGUGGCCAAGUAAAUAUCGAAAAAUUCUUUUCACGGCAUAAAUGUGAUUCUUUUGGACCAUUAUUGAAAUCUAGCACAUAAGCAACACUAAACAUUAUAUGUUCCUACUGGCCGUCAAAUAUAGUAACUACCAAUCAUUCUCUGUAUUGUUUUAAUGUCAACAUUUUUUCCCAUUUUCAUCUUUAUCGAGUCUAGUUGUUGAAUUCAUUGGGUUGCUAAAUUUUUAAAUUUUCUAUCGCCAAAUUUCUUGAGAAGAUCUUUUAUAUAUUUAGAAUUGGUUGAUAAAAGAUUCCAUUUUUAGUUUUCUUAAUUUGAAACCCAAGAAGAAUCUUAGUUCACCCAUCAUGCUCAUUUCAAAUUCUUUUUUCAUAAUUUUUUUUGAAAAUUCACUCCACAUAUUCUCAUUUGUUGAUCCAAAAAUGAUAUCAUCAACAUAUAUUUGCCCAAUAAGUAAUCUUCAUUUUUAUUUUGGUAAAUAAGGUAGUGUCAAUUUUUUCUCUUGUAAAAUAUUUUUCUAAAAGAAUUCACUAUAUUCUUUCAUACCAUGCUCUUGGGGCCUUUUAUUUCAAGCCAUCAAGGCUUUGGUCAUUUGAAAACAAUGAUUUGAAAUCGUGAUUUUCAAACCGGGUGGUUGUCUCAACAUAAAUUUUUUCAGAAAUGAACAGCAUUUAAAAAUGUACUUUUGACAUCUAUUUGAAAUAAUUAAAAUCUUUAUAGGAAGAAAAUGCUAAUAGCUUUCUUAUAUCUUCAAGUCGAGCUACGGGGUCAAAGGUUUCUCAUAGUCAAUUCCUUUUCUUGGUUGAAACCUGGGCUAGUAAUCUAGCUUUAUUCUAAUGAUAUGCCAUUUAUCAUCAUUUUUUAUUAACGAAAAAUUCAAUUUUGUUUCAAUAACUAACUGAUGUGUAGGUCUGAACCAAUGUCCAAACAUUGUUCCUCUCAAUUGGUUAAGCUCGUUUCUUCUAUGGCAUUAACCAAAACUCAUCAGUUUCAACUUCUUCAAUAUUCUUUUCUUGGCUCAAUUUCUGAACAAAAGUCAUGUUAUUAACACAUUUCUAAGUGAAGAACCGUGUAUUACAACACCUUGGUGAGGGGUCACCUAGAAUUUGAUCAUAGGGUGACUUUAACCAAUUCUCCAAGAUGUAGGAAAUUGGUUGAUCUUGUUCAAAGAUGAGAGGCAUUUUUCAUACUUUUCUUUUUUAUUAGAGUCUUGAGAGAUUUGAUUUUGAAUUAAGAUUAUUAUCCAAAAAAAAAAUUAUUUUCCUGUAGCAUUAAUAUCCUCAUCAUUCUCCAUCAAUGUCUUAGAUUUGAAAGAAUCAACUUCAUCAAGUGCAACAUGUAUAGACUCUUCAAUAGUUAAUAGUUUUUUUUGUUAGAGACUCUAAUAAGCUUUGCUAUAGUAGAAUAUCCAAGAAAUAUUCCUUUAUCAGAUUUAGCAUCCAAUUUACACCCAAAUUAUCUUUGUCAUUUAGAAAUAAAAAUUUAACAACCAAAUACUUUGAAUAACCAUAUUAGGUGUCUUGCCUUUCCAAAGCUCGUAAUGAUCUUUUUCAAGUUUUGUCUCAUGAUACCGAUUUUUAAUAUAACAACUGUAUUUACAGCGUCAUUUCAGCCCAAAAAUACUUAGGUAAUUAUGUUCCUUUAACAGGUUUAACCUAUUCUAGCCAUUUUUUGAAGGAUCCUUUUUAAACGUUCAACAACUCAAGUUUUGUUGAGUGUUCUAGGUGCAGAGAAAGUUGUGUAAAAAAUCGUGAUCAUCGCAAUAAUUUUUCAAUAAUCUUGAUUAUCAAACUCUCUACAUCAUCACUACAAUAUUGGUGAUAGUGCAACCUAUUGUUAUUUUGUCCUUUUUUAUAAUUUUUGCAAAUGCAAUGUGUUCUCAUUUUUUUGUGAGUAGGAAUAAUACCAUGUAAAACGUGAAAAAUUAUCAACAAUUUACAAAUGCGUAAAUUGUCCACCAAGACUAGCAACCCUACUGGGACCAAACAAAUCCAUAUGAUCCAUAUGGCAAGUCAGUUGAAGUGGUUAGAGUGGAAUUAUUUCUUUUUUAAAAAGAUUUUUGGGUGUUGCUUCCCUAUUGACUGCAUCACAAAUUUUAUCUUUAACAACUUGAUUUUAUAGGUAACCUUAAACUAAAUCUGCUUGUUCAAUUUAAUGAGUAAAUUUCAUGCUAGCAUGUCCAAGCUUCAUGGCCAUAACCAGCUCUUUUCAUUUAUACCCAAGACAUUUAAACCUCUUGACUACUAACUAUCAAAGUCAAAGGUGUAUACUAUUUCCAUAAUUUAGAUGUAAAUAAUACUAUUUUAUCAUUAAAGCAUGGCUUAUUAUGGCAUUUUUUUAUCAAAUAUAACCUUGAGUUUUUAUCACAUUUGGGCUUAUACUUAUUAGAUUUAUGUUUAAGGCCAUUAACAAGUAAAAUUUUUCAAUUCAAGAUGAAGAGCAAUUUUUAAUAUUUUCAACCCCAAUAAUUUUAAUUACCUCUUGAUUAUCACCAAUUUGCACUCCUCCAUCCUUGGGUGUGAAGAUGCAAGUUUGGACUUGUCCCCGUCAUAUGUCUUGAUCAAGCGUUGUCCAUGAACAUUUGUUCGAGCUCCAAUAUACUUGAGGCAUACCGACAAAUAAUCAACUAACUCUUUUUGGUACCCAAAUUUCUUGGGUCCCAUGAUGUCAGUUUUAGUACAUUAUGUUAUUGGUCUCAAACACCUUACGAGUGUUUCCAAUGGUAUAAUUUUAGGAUUUAUCCCUUAUAGUUUUAUCUUGUAAAAAAUUUUUUUUAUAAGGACGAGCAUCUAUAAUAUGUCAUUUUUCCAAAUGACUUGCAAGUAGGAAUGAAGAAUUUAAAUCAUUAUUCUUAUCAAAAAAGUUUUUAUAAAAUUUUUGUUUAUUCUUAGGGGUAUAUCACAAACCUUCCUUAUUGAAGACACACCUUGGUCUCCAAGUAGCAUAUCUUAAAUUGUUUUUUGCCAUUUAGAUAAUUUUGCUAAAAUUUUUGUUUAAGUCUUUAAUGGUUUCUUUAGCUACUAUUUCUUCUUCUAGAUUCAUUGAUACUUAAUCUUGGAGGUCAGGAUUAUUGUUAUUUUUGAGUAAAUUUUCAUUUUUAUUUUCAAAGUAGCUUAUCUCAAUUCAAAAUUCAGUUUUUUCUUCUCUUCUUUUUAAGAAUUAAUGUAUUUCGCAAUGUAAUUUUAUAGUGUUUUCACAUAACUCAUCAUAGACAAUCUUGAAGUCUUCAAUAAGAGAUAAUUCAUUCUCAGUAUCAAAAUCCUUUCCUCCAUCUCCUUUUGCCAUGAGGCAAAAUUAGCCAUCUCAUUUUCGCUCUCCUCUUGUUCUGAAUUCGCUUCCUUCUGAAUCAUACCAUUCCCUUUAGCCUUUUUCUUUUGAAUUCAUUUCCAUUUCCUUCCUUCUUAAGGCGAGGGCAAUCUGAUUUAUGUGUCCAGGCUUUGUGGCACUCGAGGCAAUUGGAGGUCUUUUUGCUAUUGGUUUCGCCGUAAGGAGUUCUUUUUUUAAAUAUUAUACUUCUUAUUAAAUAUUUUCUCGCUUCUCAUAAACCUUUUAAUCGUUUUGGUGAGAAGUGCCAUUUUUUUAAUCUCGUCAAAAAAAAAUUUUUUUUCCUCUUCUUCUUCCUCACUUCUUGAUAAGGAUUGAGUGCAGACUUCUUUUGGCUUUACUUACUUCUUCCCUUCUCGCCCUUCACAUGAUCUUAUGUCAUGAGUGAACACCAAAAUUUAUCAGACUCAUCGUUGUGAGUUCUUUACCUUCUCAUAGCUGUGACUUUUUGCAUCCCAAUUUCUUGGCAAGGAACCUAAGAAUUUUUUCUCAAUUUUUCAUAUUAGUAAUCACAUUUGCCAAAGAUUUUAAUGAAUGUUACAUAUAGUAAAUCUAGAGUAAACAUUCAGAAUAGAUUUUUUCAAUUUCAUACAAAUAAUUCAUACUCAUGAACUACCCUACUGUUUUAGAUUCGUUAAGAUUCUUUUAACUUGAUUUGUACCUUCAUAGUCACUUCAAGUUUAUCCCAUAAUUUUCUUCUUCUUUGCUUAUAUCGGUUCCGCUGUCGAGAUUCGAUUAAAUUCAUUUGCAUCUAAGCUCAAUAUAACAUAUUUCUUACUUUAGCAUUAAUUUGAAUUAAGCGUGAAUCCAUCUUUAUCCGCUUCUUUCUCUCAGUUUUAAUGACUUUUGGUUUUAUCAACUAUUUUUGUGGGAAUAUAAGGACCAUGCCCUAAUAAUUUUCCACGCCUCAUAAUUCCAUGCUGAAUGUAAAUUCUCAUCCAUUCUUCCAAUAGGUUAUAAGGAUUCCCAUUAAUAAAAGAAGCCUAGUUGAGGAGUGCCCUUCGGCGAAGAUUAUUCUAUUUGUGUUUUGCCAGGUCGUCGCUCUUUGGAUUUACGCCAAAUAUAUGAUGUGUAGGCUCUGAUACCAAUGGGUGCCCCGAUACUCAACACCCUAGAGGGGGGUACAGGGUUUGUUGACAAACUUUUCUUUUAAUAAAAAUUAUACUGAAUUAAUAGUUUUAGAAUAUUAAGAACAGUAUAAUUUAAGAAUAUAAAUGAGUACAAUACUAAGGAUAGGGAGAGAGAUUCAAACUCGGCGUUUAUGUGGUUCGUCUAUACCUGACUCGAUUCACUCCCAAAAGUGAAAUUCUUUACCCGCAGAGUGUACUGGUCGCUAAUAGUAUAAACCGUAAUCCGGUAAUCGUUCUCGUCCAAGGACCUUAUAGCUAAUAGAGUGUGCACUCAACUCACACUAUAACUCACUCGGAUAAACUAGAAGUUUAUAUGAAUUGAAUCUAAAAAGAAUAAAAAGUAAAAAGUCUUUCUUUGUGAUUGAUUGACUUUAGUAAUCUAAAUUAAGCAAUCAAUACAAAAAAAAUAAUUUAACGUAAUUAAAAACAAUUUAAAAUCAAUUGAUCCAAUCAUUAAGGUUUUUCGAAAUCCCAUGGAGGCUUUCUUAUACCUCAAAUCCUCCUUCGACACAUUCAUGGGUCUCGAUUCGGAAGAUUAGUUUUAAAAAUAUUUGUUCUUUCAUGGAAGUAAAAGAAGAACUACUUCAUUCGUGCAACAAUAGAUUAACCCCACUCACGCAUAAACGUUACAAGGCAACGUAAUAUCGUGAGCCGCAAUUCCUAUAUAAACGUUUUUAGCAAUAAUCAUGAUUGGUAUAAAUCAAGGCCGUGCAUCAUCGAUUCGCAUCACAAAUAUGUUAUCGGCACAUAAUAGGACCCAAGUUUUUCAAAAGUAAUAAAUCUAGUUGUUUUAAUCAUGGUAGUGCAUCAUCGAUCCGAAUAACCAUACUGUUUAUCGAACUAAUAGACGUCCCAUUUUUUCCGAAAUUAUCAAGUUUCUAAAACGAAAAUAAAUAAGAAGGAGAAUAUCAAUAAAAUAAAGCGGUGAUAUUAAAAACCUCCAUUGUUCAUCCCUUGACCCCAAUCAACUUUCAACAAUCAAUUCCAAGUCAGAGAACUAGCGCAAGCAUGGUUAGAAAAGCAUGUAAAUACAAAUUAAAUACAUUCGGUAUAAAAAAUUGACUUGAAUUGAUAAAUAAUUACACCUUUUCAAAAUAAAAUAAAACCUAAUAAUAAUAUAAACCUAACUAAAAAACUUAAAGAAACCCUAAUCUAAAACAUCUCUAAAGCAUCUCUUUUAAGCAUAUCUCGUUCAUAAGAUUAUAAGAAAGUCUUUAUACGCAUACAAAUUAGAAUCCUAAUAGGAUUAGGAAAUUUCCCAAACUUCUUAAUCUGGUCCGGACGUUGUUUCUCUAUUUUGACCACUUUUGAGAUCGAAUCAGGCAUACCUAUUGAGAUAAAAUUGUAACCCUUUAAAUCUUCUUUCCAAGCGUUGGAAAAGUUCAUACUCAUCGAUAUCGGAGUAGAAACGUUAUGGCAAAAUACCAGACUGAAUUCCUGCUAGGCGUUCGAACUCUUGAUCCUUUGCUUUUCUGGCGUCAAACGGUCCUUCACAAUUUCUUAAUUUUCCUCUUGGCUGUUCGAACGGCCCAAUUUCUUCUUUAGUUUGGCGUUCGAACUCUUAGGCAAAAUCUCACUUCAAGUUUCGCACUUUUCGAACCUGUAAAGGAGGUCGAACGUUCUUCAGCAUUUUUCUUCUUGGCGCUCGCAUGCCCAAAACUUGCUUGAUCCAACGUUCGAACGGUCAGUGCAAAAUUUAAACUUUUCUUCCCCAGCGGUUCCAACGCUCUAAUCCUUCUUGCUUUUGUUCGAACGCCUAGUGCAUUUUUUUCCUCUUUACCUUUUUCGGCUUCUUUGCUUACUUUAUUUGUGUGGUGGGGGGGGGUUUUUUUUUUAAUCAUUCUUACCUGCACUGGUUUUUCAACACGACUAUAAGUACAACAUACGAUCAAAUUAAAUCUUAAACUAAUUAGGGCAACUUAGGUCGAUUAAACCGGCGUUUGCACUACAAUGAUGCAGGCCAAUCACACCCCCCACUAACUUUUUGCUAGUCCCUAGCAAAAUUAAACAAAAGCAAAGAUAACUCUCCUUCGUAAGAUUCCCCGAAUGCUUUUAGCGUAUGCAUCAAGCCUUUAAACCCCUAGGUUUUCCCUAUGGACGAGUGGUGUCUCGUGAGAGUUUCAGUAAUGAUACCACAAACAUCACAUUAUGCAAUGUAUCAAAAAUAAUUUAACAACUUUCUCAACAAAAUACAAGACAAGGCAAUUUCAAAUCAACCCAAUCAUGCUAAGCAUCUACAAACCGUCAGUGCAAAAAACGAGAUAUUCAGUUGUAAAUGGUAGAGUCGUUUUCCUCCAUUUUAACAUUAUGCACCCAUAACAAAAAAACAAAAAACCUACAGUCUCGAUUCAAAACUCAAAGUAAUACACUCUCACAAUUAGAACACAAAAGUUUCUUCAAGGAUGCUAAUAUAUGAGUAAGUGUAAAAAUAAUGCAAAAAGAGUUAAUCCCAAUUUCAAAACCGCAAAGAUGUAAAGUGAUCGACUUGGCAUGCUUCAUGAAAGAAUGUUCCCAUAAUGCGCACCAGUGUAAAAUUUUGACUUGAUGACUUUUACAUUGCAAGAAUUCGAAUUAUGCAAUUCCGGAUAUUAAGGCGCCUAUGAGUGAAAGGAUAGUCAAGAAACGUAGAGAGAAUCAAAGCGGGUAAUAGAUGUCUCAACAAUGCAUUGCAACUACACAUGCCAACUUAAUAAAGCAUUACCUUCAAACUCCUCUUUUUUCCACUGUUUUCAUUUUGAAAACGUCUUUUUAUUUCUUUUUUUUUCUUUUGUUUUUUCUCAACCUCUCAAAAAUUACCUCCAAAAAAUGCGCUUUUUUGAGAUCUUUUAAUGCAAAUUACCGAAAAGAAUAACAGGAAAAGAGAUAUAAUUAAUUGCAGUAAUUGUAACAAAAUUCAGAAUUGAUGUAAAUCAUGUAAAAGGCAUGUCAAAAAAUUCUAACUCAUUACACUAAAAUGUAAACCAAAUUCAAAAAUAUUGAAGCUAUUCAAACUAAUGAAGUUCAAUAAAUUUCUGAGUAAAGGUAAAAUCGCUCACAAAAACGAUUUUUAUGGUUCUAAAGCUCACAAGGUAUAAAUCUCCACUUUAUGGAUGCGUCAUGUAGAACUUUUUAUAACAGUUUCACUUCGAAAAACACGACUGUGCGUAGGAUAGUAUUGUAUUGUGAUUCUCUCCUUAUAUAGACAAACAAUAAAGUAUUAAGCAUGCAAGAUUGAUUGACAUAAUAAUCCGCUUAAAAUAUCAUAUUAUGCUGGAAGUCCAUAAUUGUUUCAACUACCUUUGAAAACAAAAACACAAUUGAUUCAGUUAUGGUCCCAAAAACUAGAUUCUCACACAUCCACAACUUACGAAAAUCAGAUUAUAAAUAUGGAGCGUGAGGAGUCACAAUUGAAAAAAUUCAAAGAAACCAGAAAACAAACUGCUUUGGAUGACAUUGAAUUAGAAAAUAAACCUCUUCUUUCAACAUCCAAAACAUGUUAACAAUAUAUUUUUUUUAAAUGUUUUCAAAAUUUUUUUUUUAAUUUUUUCUAAAUUUUUUUUUUUUUAUGAAAAAUUAAAACUUCUAAAAAAUUACGGAAGUACUCCCUCCAACUAGAGAUGAGUAUUCUACGAAAGGCGGAAAAUAAAGUAAAAAAUAAAAAUAAAUCAUAAAAAUAUAAAUAAAAAUUAAAAAUAAAAUAACACAAGGGGAAAAAAAGUAAAAGGGUAAGACAACACCCUUCUCCCCCCAACUAGAGUUAAAUUGAUGAACACAGAACCAACUUAGAUCUUUUAACAAAAAUUGUAUCCGACCCUACCAGAUGAUCAGGUACUUAAAAAUUUUUUAUUUUUGAGGGCGCCUUGAAUAUUGUUUUCUACUUUAUCCCUCUUUAACAGUGUAGGUUUUGAGAUUUUUAUUGACUACCGGAAAUGAGAUAAGGAUCCUCAACCCUCCUUAAAUAUUUGUCACCAAACAACCAAGAAAAUCAAUUAACAACCCUACGUCAAUGGAAGGCUUGUUGGACAAUCAAACAACUCAACUUUUCCUCCCAUUGAUAAUUCUUUAGGUGGUGUGACUAAAAUCUUGUGCAAGGUUUCGUGGUCGCUCGCUGAUUUAUUCUUAACCAUACCUCAAAACCACAGAGUUCCUACACUAUGCGCAUCACACACCUCACCAUUAUCUUGUCUUUAUAAACAAUCUCCUAACCUCCUCUUUUUUCUCUCUUCCAUCUCGAUAUCUAACUCCCUAAACUCAUCCUCCCUCAAAUUUAACUCCGUUUUGAUUCCACAUUUUAAUUAAUUUCCUUUCCACUUGUUCUUUCAAUGUGCUUCACCAAGGCCUAAUAUUUUGUUGGGGUGGGUGGAUGAAUUGCUCUUGAGUUUGUUGUGCAAUUAUUAAAUUCUCAGUACAGAGUUCAUCUUUCCUAAUUGUUUCUCCAAUAAUUUUGUAACCUUAGUACGCAACUCAUUUCCUCAUUCCUCCCAUGUGGAGAUUGGUAUUGUGUAGUGUUAUUAUAUUUUUGCACAAACGCUGAAAACUCUUAGCCUUAGGACAUUCAGUAAAAAUAUGGUAAUAACUAGAAACAUAUGGGACAUGAACUCAUUUGUAUACAAAUUUCCUGAGAUCCUUGGUAGCAUUGACAUCGUUUUGAAAUAACCUGAAAACUCAAUGAACUGAGGACAUUCGUCACAAGGUGGUUAUGACUAGCAUUAUGACAUGGCUCAUUGUAUCCUAUCCUUGAGAUCCUUGAGUGACAUUAAUAUAUUUUCGACUAAACUCGGGAAACUCCAUGAGCCCUCGGACAUUCAGUCACGAUGUGGCUAUGACUUGAAACAUAAAGGACAGACUCAUCGUUACAAAUUCCUCAAACCAAGGGGGUGGAGGUGAAUCGUGGAAGAGUUUUUCUAGCAUCCCAUCCGUAUUAGGCUGUGCUACUUCAAAUUAUUUUUCACAAAGGCCCAUCAUUUUUUUUUUAAACCAAAUAAUAAAAAAAUAAAUGAAAGGAAUUACCCAUGGCCUAAGCCGAAGAUUCCUCCGUCGGGGUAGAUUGAUGGAAAUCAAUUCACCGAAUUGCUAUUCACCCAAAUCCUUUCUAGUGCCCUCCCUCGCUUCGUGCCUUUUGUCCCCGGCAACGGCGCCAAAACUUGAUCGCUCGUCCAAAGUGACUCUUUACUGCAAUGUACGGGUCGCGAAAUAGUAAUAAAAAUCGAUAAUAAUCCGGUAUCGUUUCUCUCUCAAGGACCUAGCUAAAUAUAAGCUGUAGCACUCAACUCCACACUAUACUAACUCGGAUAAACUAGAAGUUAUAUGAAUUGAUCUAAAAAAGAAUAAGUAAAAUUCUUUCUUUAUGGAUUUGAUUGACUUUACAGUAAUCUAAAUUAAGCAAGUAUAAAAAAAUAAUUUAAAAUUAAUUAAAAACACCUCAAAAUCAAUGAUCCAAUCAAUUAGGUUUUUCGGAAUCCAAUGGAAUGCUUCUUGUAAAACUCAAAUCCUUCGCCACAUCGUGGGUCUCGGCUUCGAAGAUUUAGGUUUUUUUAAAAAGAAAUUGUUCUUCAAUCUUUAAUUCGUUGCAACAAUAUAAUGAACGCCACCUCACGCAUAACGUUACAAGGCAACGGAUAUACUGACCAGCAAUUCAUAUAUAAAACGUUACUUAGAAUAAAUCUGAAUUGUUCUAAUCAAGCUGUGCUCAUCGUUUCGCAUUACAAAUAUGUUAUCUGAACAUAAUAAGGACUCCUCAAGUUUUCAAAAGUAAAAUAAAUCUGGUUGUUUUAAUCAUGAUAGUGGCAUCAUCGAUUCAAUAACAAGAAUGUUUUCGAACAUAAUAGGACGUUCAGUUUUCGAAAGUACUAAAAUGAAAAAGAAGAAUAAGUAUAAAAUCAAGACAUAAAUCGGUGGUAUUAAAAUACCUCCAUGUUCAUCCUUGACCCCAUCAAUCUUCUCACAACAAUUCAAGUUGGGAGAACUAGCCAAGCAUGGCUAAGAAAAACAUAAUAAUAAAAAUUAAAGACAUUACAGUAUGAAAAUUGACUUGAAAUUGAUAAAUGAUUAAAACUUUUACAAUCAAUAAAAUAAAACCUCAGAAUAAUAUAAAACCUAACUAAAAAACUAAAAGAAAUCCUAUCUAAAGCAUCUCUAAAGCCUCUCUUUUUAGCAUAUCCCAUUCAUAAGAGAUAAGAAAUUAUUUUACAGGAACCAAAUUUAGAAUCCUAAUAGGAUUAGGAAACUUCAAAACUCCCCAAUUCUGUCCCGGACGUUAUUUCUCUAUUUUGACCCUUUUGAGAUCGAAUCAGGCAAACCUAUUAGAGAUAAAAUUAUAAGCCCUUUAAUCUUCUUUCCCAACGCGUUAAAAGUCAACCUCAAUCGGAUACGGAGUAAAACGUUAUGGCCAAAAUAACCGAGACUUGGAUUCCUGCUAGCGUUCGAACUCUUGAUGCCUUUGCUUUUCUGGCGUUCGAACGGUCUUCACAAUUUCUGAACUUUUCCUCUUGCUUUCUGAACGCCCAAUCCUUCUUUAGUUUGGCGUUCGAACUCUUAAGAAAAUCUCAACUUCAAGUCUCGCACUUUUCGACUUAGGGAGUUCGAAUAGUCUUUCAUCAUCUUCAGCAUUUUUUUUUCUUGGCACUUGAACGCUCCGCAAAACUUGCCUUGUCCAUGUGUUUUCGAACGGUCAGAUGCAAAUUGAACUUUCUUCUUCCCACGUUCGAACGCUCAAAUCCGCCUUCUUGCUCCUGGUGUUCGAACGCCUAGGGCAAAUUUUUCCUCUUUGCCCUUUUUCGCUCUUUUCUUUCCUUUUUAAUCAUCCAUCCCCGUUAAGCCUGCAAUGGUUCUCAGACAGAGGGCGACUACUAUAAGUACACAUACGAUAAAAUUAAAUAGUUAAACUAAAGUUAGGGCCACCUUCGGCGAUUACACGGCGUGUGAAUACAAUUAUGCAGUCCAAUCAACCUACGUCCACUCCCCAAGCACACCACAUGAGAUUUCAAUUCACUAAUCAACAACUCCUUUACGGGGUUGGAGUUUCAAACCUCUACACGUCAGAGCAACACCAUAUCUUCACAAGGUAGAAAAUUCCCCUUCAAACCUCACAAGAGUCACACCAACCCUCUUGAUACCACAACUGUUGAUCGGAUUUGGAUUUCUCUCACAAUAAGCAAUUUUUCGUGUUGGAAGGAUUUCAACAAAAUGAAGCUUUUUACAAUGACUCUCUCAUAGAACUCUUGUAUGAAGCAAAACUUGAAAGGUCAAAGGAAAUUGAAGAGUAUGCCUUUGAGUUUAAUUGUUUUUUCAUUGAUGGCUUUAUAAAAUGAGAGGUUAAGGUAUGUAGUUAUAGGCCUUAGAAGAAUAUAAUGUUGGAGGACCUCCUUUGAAAUUUGCUAGCCAAUUUUUAAUUUUGAAAUCACAUUUUCAACGACAGAAAUUGUGCUAUCAAAAUUUCAACAAGUUCAACUAUUAAGUUUUUUUUUUUUUCCCCACAAAGUCGAAAUUAUUUUACCAAUUUUUCAAAGUUGCAAUCACAUUUUCAAAGUCAGAAAGUGUUGCUAUCCAAAUUUUCCAAAUGGAAAUCAAAUUUUAAAGUCAGAAAUUGUUGCUAACACUUUUCAAAUUGGAAUAAAUUUUUUUAAGAGGUAGCAAUUGUUGCUAGCUAUUUUUCAAACUGGGAAUUAAUCUUUCAAAGUCAGAAAUUGUUGGCUAGCAUAUUUUUCAAAAUUGCAAUCACAGUUUCAAAGUUGACAAAAAAUUAUUGCUAGCUAAUUUUUCAAACAACUUGAAAUCAAAUUUUCAAAAUCAACAUUAUUGCUUGCCCAUUUUUCAAAUAUUAUAAUUAAAAUUUCAAUAUAAGACAGUGCUUAGCACAUUUUUAAGAACUCUAAGUUUUAAUGAACACUUUUGUAUUUUUAAAAGCUAUUGAAGGAUAUUAAGGUCAUUUUAGAGCCUCAGAAUUAACCAAAUAAGACGCCUAGCUUUACAAAAAAUACCCUUAAUGAAGUUUCAUUCUUGAGAUCUUCAGUUGAUUAAAGGCUUCUUGCUUGCAGGUUCAACUAUCUUCGAUUAUUUUUGCCUCCUUGAGAAUAUGUGCUUUGACUAUUUCUUGCAACUAUCAUAACUGAAGAAAUAUUUAGAGCAAUAAGAUAGAAUUUGUAUCAUCAAAAUAUUUUAAAACAUCAUAGGAUUGACGCCCUAGGGCUUACAAUGGUUACACCCUUACAAAGAGCGGUUUUAGUUCCGGCCAUGGGUUGAUACAUGUCUGCACUUGGAGAUGCAAAUCUAGUCAAAUGGUUCUAGUUCAUUUCAUUAACUUCACUAUGUUUCAAUUCUGUUGGUUGUUGUACGAUUUGAAAUUUGUUCAUUGUUAAAGCACAAUGCAUUUUUUGCUAUAAGAGCGAAUCUACAUAGGCAAGACUGGAAGUCAUAUUUGGGAGAGAAUACGAUAUCAUCCCUAUAAACACCAUCUUGAAAACAUAAACAAGAUGUUGAAAAAUUUAGUUCGGGGAUAUCAAAAGUUAUGCGAGCGACGAGCGCAAAUUCAACAACAUAAACAUUUUUACACGUGAUAUUUUCAGUCCGUUAAGUAAAGUGUCGGUUCAUUAAAGGCAACAUGGAGGUGAUUUUUGGCGUCAAAUGCUAUGCGACUGAGGACGGAAUAUAAUUAGCAAGCCGAAGAUGGUUGUUCCAUCAAAAUAGUAUACGCAUGGCAUGCGAGGCAUGAUCUUCCCCAUCUACCGUUACUUUUCCUAUUCUAAUUCAUUACAGCGUAUUACGCUCAUUGGAGGAGGUGGUCUAUGCACGUAUGAAUAAAAGGCGUACGAGCCAAUAGGACAUCCACGUGGUGAUGAAUUAGAUGGGAAUGGAUAUACCGGAUGCCGACCCGAGAGCAUAUGAGAGACAGAUUAUCGAUAGAACGGAUCCUCUCAAAGAUCGUUUGCGAGCCCCUUCGUACAACUGGAAAUAGCGGGCCCGAACUAAAGGCAGAGAUAAAGCAAAGUAGACGUCACUUACUCUUUUUCGUCUUUCGAACAUGCAUCCACUUCAAGAUCUAGGGUCAUCCAUCGAGACGACCAUUCGCGAUCCUCCCAUCUAUGAUACCUACAUUGAGAAAUUACUUUGUGGGCUUUGCAGCGUUUUAUUUCCUCACACCUAUUACGUUCAAACCUAAUGGUCAUGUGGAUUGAGCGAUAGUAUCACUCAUUUAGUUAUGGUGAAGGAGUGGUCUUAAGUACGAUUCGAACUUAUGGAAUGAUUCAACAAAAUAAGAUUUACAUGUUACCUUUAUCCAGAUCAAAAAUUUGGUGCCAAUCUAUAUUCUCACUGAUUUGGUUCAAACUGUGGGCACCAUAGAUGGAUUGGAUCCUAAUACUUUUGGAAUUGUCAUCGCGCAUUAAGGUACACUCUAGUACUAUAUACAUUUAGUGAGAAUAUGGUAGUUGUUUUACGCACUUGCCUUAAGGACUAUUCCUCCAGUUGAAAAUAUCAAGAGCUUGAGAAAUAGUUUUGCCCAUGGUUGGCAAUCAUUUCAUGCAAGUUUUUUACACCCUCGUUAUCUCUAUACCACAAAUUCGCAAUUAUUUGGUGGCAACAGCAGCAUACAACGCUAAAGGAUGAGUUGCUUCGUUAUGUGACACGUGUUCUUGUGGACGAAAGUAAUAGGUAACACUCACCAAAAGAUUCUGGUGAAUCAAGAAUUUGGAUGCAAUAUUGAUUAGAAUUUAUAUUUGUAUAUAUUUUCGUAUAUCUAUUUUUUUGGUAUUAUUACAUAUACUCUUUCCUAAAAAUGAGUAAAUCAAUAUUGGUCCAUAUUUUGAUCCAUAUUUUUAUACUUUUAAAAAUUUUAUAAAUAAUGACUCUCAAAAUCUACAACUAAAAAAUAAACAAAAGAUUUCAAAUAUAUAAUACAAAAAUUGUUUAUCCAAAUAAAAAAUGAUAAAGAAAAUAAAAAAAAGAACUGAUUAAAAUAAAUAAUAAAAAAUAUAUAAGUAAUUGAUUAAAAAUAUUGAUUAAACAAAAACACUAAGUGAAAAACAAAAAACUAAAAAAUAAAAAUACACAAAACAUAAAAAAAAAAAAAAAGCAAGAGUAAAUGCACAAGGUUAAAUUUGUGCUGCCUGGGGGCUUGUUUUUUUUUUUGAGAGGGGGUGGGGGGUGGGGUGGUUUGGGUUCGCGGUUGAAGCAGGACCCUAAAAUAAUUACACCCCUUUGGAACCAAAGUCGUACAUGUCUUUUUUUUUUUUUUUUCAUAGUUAAUUGAGGUGCCAACAAUGGCGACAAAAUAACCUUGCAUAAAGUGUUAAAUGAAUUUCACGGAAAUUUCUUUCGUUGUUGACCUAAAGAAAUAUCCUUAGCAAGAAUUAAAACUGGAUAAUUGAACACAAUAUAUUUCCCCAUAGAACACACAGUCAAAUUCAUCGUUUGCAUCGCCAUGAAGACAUCUCUUCAAAUGGUUGCAAGAAUUAAACUGGAUACUUGGAACACAAUAUAUUUCACCCAUAGACACACCAGAUCAAAUUCAUCGUUUGACAAUCCCAUGAAGCAUCUCUUUCAAAUGGUUGCAAUCUUCUCCUUUGCCUUUCCACUAGCACCAUUGAUUUGCGGUAUCUGGCAAUGCAGCCAUGAUGUGGUUUGCCCGAUAGAGAGAAACAAGCUCUUUUAAAUUUAAGCUUCAAGCAAGAUCUCAAAGAUCCUUCAGAACCCGACUCUCGUCGGUGGACCGGUCGACGAGAUUGCUUGCAAGUGUGCAGGUUUUGUUUGCGACAACUUAACCGUACCAUGUUUCUCGCUCUCCACCAAAAAUUCUAAAUCCUCCCUUUUUCUUAUCCUGAUACCUUCCUUGGGAAGGUGAAAUAAUCCAAACUUUUUGCUAAUCUACAGCAAAACCUCUAACUACCCCGACCUCGAUUUAAGUGUGAAAUGAUUUCCCAAGGAAACCAUCCACAUCCUUCAUUGGAUCUCUAGCAUCUGCAAUCUCAACUUGUCCGUAUGCAGAUUUGAGGGAACCAUUCCUCAUCAACUUGGAAACCUCCCGGGUUUUUACUUUUUCUAAUCUUAAGCGAAAUGGUGUGACGACCCUUCAUGGCUUCUCGGUCUUUCCGGGGCCGGGGGGGGGUUUGAAACCUUAAACCGUAUGUGGAUUGGAAUACCUUUACGAGUUGAUCACACUGGUCGUACAUGUAAUUAAACAUCUCCCUAUCCUUGGUUGAGUUACACUUGGUCUGCUGUCAAACUUGAUCACAUACCACCACUAACCGGCGUUAAUUUUAUCCCUCACUUGCCAUACUAAGAUCUUUCCAAAAUUACUUUCGU